rnacentral:snoRNA from 1 species
ACAUGAUGAUACAAAAGCUGGCACCAGGCGUAGAAGAUUUGUACUCUUUCAAUGCCGAAAAUGCUAUGGCUCAGGCCUCUUUCUGAA